CGUUUGGCUCAUGCUGUGCUUUAUUAAUUAAUAAAGCUAUUUGUUAGCUGCCUAAACAGAGAGGAGCAUUUUUGCUUUGACAAUUUGGAGGUUCCACCGAGAUUCCUAACGCACCACUUGCCUGUAUGGAUGGACUGGCACUCUACUUCCAAACUCUCAGAGCGCUCAAUAGAAGCUCCUUUGCCGUCUCUGUUGGAAUUGGCCUGUCGCAAGAAUCACAGGUCGGAUGAUGCAUACCCAAGGGGGGAAGGACAGAACCAGUCUUAUCAUUCACAGGUUAAAGACGCCUUCCAGGAGGCCCCGACUGAGCCAUGCCUUAAACUACAACCAGGAAACUGGGUUUGCGUAAAGGUUCACCAGCGAAAGACGGCCCUGGAUU